rnacentral:rRNA from 1 species
UACGUAGGGUGCGAGCGUUAAUCGGAAUUACUGGGCGUAAAGCGCACGUAGGUGGCGACGUAAGUCGGGUGUGAAAGCCCCGGGCUCAACCCUGGGAAUUGCAUUCGAGACUGCAUUGCUGGAGUACGGAAGAGGAAGGCGGAAUUCCCGGUGUAGCGGUGAAAUGCGUAGAUAUCGGGAGGAACAUCAGUGGCGAAGGCGGCCUUCUGGUCCAGUACUGACACUCAAGUGCGAAAGCGGUGGGGAGCAAACAGG